AAAAUGGCGCCUUUAUCAGCUCGGCGCACGGAUAUGGGGGGGAGGGAGGAAGAGAAGCGGGAGGAAGCAGCUAUUCGAUCUCACUACGCACGCGCAGAAGCGUAACGGGUGCUGCGAAAGGGACGCUGGCGCACGCGCGACGUCACCCUCCGCGCGAAGGGAAAAAAAGUUCCCGCGUUCCCGAUUUUGUGGAGAGGUUCGCGAAUGAAGUGACCGGCUGAGUGAGCCAAGCCGUGACUUUGUCUUUCCGCCCCAUCUCCUGCGAACUGGCCGUGGGCUGCUUACGUAAGUGUCUCAUGGAGGGGAACCCAGCUUAGAUUCCCUAGUAAAUAGACUAAAGUACCGUUCCACCUUUGGUUCAGAACCGAGCUUUGUAUAUAGCUCAGUUAAACGCUCCUUGUGCUAGUGGCGGUGAUUCGUGCUCUGACCAGUCAUUGGUGGUACCUGCCACCCAGGACCCAGACCUCUGCUUCUCUCUUCAACAGCCUAUCGCUAGGCCCAACGCAGCGGAAAGGUCCAGUGAAGGUUGCAGAAUGAAUUGUGCCUGUUAUUUCUCCAGCUGCUUUCAAAGAAUGAGAAAAAGCGCUCCUGCCUCUGUGUAUUGCAGAAUCCUGAAGUUCCUUCCUUUUUUUGAAGUCAUUACCAGGCCUCUCAAGUAAUAUGAAUGAGCACAAUGAAUGUGUAUUACUGUGACCACUGGAGACCACAGUUGCUGCUCAGGACUGAUCCUGGUAGCAUGCUGGUCCAGGGAGAUAAGAACUUUUAACAUUUUUUCCUCAGUGACAUCUGAAAUCUAGAUUUUUAUAUGAAAUGCUGGGGUUUUUAAAUAUUAGUGAUGAAUUCAAAUUAAAAAAAACAACAACAACCCUGCAGUUAUCAAUAUGCUAAAACAGAUCUGUACCCUAAGUGUAAGGAUGAUUUUUUUCAUAUUAUGUAUUUAUUUGCAACUCCCUCUCCCCAGGGAUGUGAGGCAGUUUACAGAGAUACCAUAAAACAUUACUAAAACUGGAUGGAGAAAUCAUGGGGAAAAUAAGGGAGGAGGAUGAAAAUGAAGGCAUCGAUAAGAUGAGUACACAAAAUGCCUGCAGUAAUAAUUUGGUGAGCUCCUAGAGAUGGACUGCAAAUUUGCCUGUGGCUAUCCCGGAAGUCACAGUAAAGAAAGGAACACAGUAUGUUCAAAAUCCAAAGCGCCUUUGAAAUUUAAAAAAAUAGAUUGUUUAGCAGAAGGGCAUGUUUUCAGUUCUGAAAGUUGACUGAAUGUAUUUUACAAAUGUUUCUAGUAAUCCCAAAAUACAAAUUUAAUUUGCUCCUCAACAGAUCCAUAGAGGAUCUUUGGUAGUCCUUGAAAUCUCUUUGGUGGUUUCCAAAAUUAUGAGUAUAUGUGCAUGUACUUUUUUGUCUGUCCUUUAGCUCAGGAGUCCCCAACCCCUGCGCUGAGGACCGAUACUGUUCGUGACCAGGCCGCACAGCAGGAGAUGAACGGCAGGCGAGUGAGCAAAGCUUCAUCUGCCGCUUCCCACCGCUCCCCGUUGCUCGCAUUACGGCCUGAACCUUCCCACCCGACCCCCCAUCCGCGGAAAAAUUGUCUUCCACGAAACUGGUCCCUGGUGCCAAAAAGGUUGGGGACCGCUGCUUUAGCUCAUCCUUCAAUGACAUAUUUUUAAACUGAGCUUUCAGUUUAAAGAGAGAAGACCCUGGGAAUUUCCUGGAGGUCCAGUGGUUAGGACUUCUUCCUUCCACUGCAGGGAGCAUGGGUUCCAUCAUUCCAUCCCUGGUCAGGGAAUCCCACAUGCGCAGUGCGGCCAAAAGAAAAAAAAAGAGAAGACCCUGAUAAUUUUUCAGUGAGAAGCUGACCAAAAGGGAUACUAUUUCAACAGAUUUAUUCAGUUUCUAGCACUAUCCUACUUGGUUAGCAGCAGAAGAGAUGAGAGUUUUUAAAGAAUUCCAGGCACAUCAUGUAUUGGUUCUUACAUUCACUAUUUAUUUACUGAGCACAUUUUCUAUCUAAUUUUAUCCAUCCAUUUAUGAUUAUUCAGAUUCAUCUUCAGUUGAUUAAUGUUAAGUCAGUAAUAACUGAAGUGAUUUAAACAUAGGUGCUUUUGAUUUCAAGGCAUUUUCAUUCCAGAAAAAUAAGAAAACCAUGAAUUUGCUUUGAUUUAUUCUUGUCCAAUUUAAUGCAGUCAUUUCUGAUUCUGUUCAGUUCAGAAGAAUACAGGGUAAAAUUUAAUAGAGAGUGAAUAGGACAUUCUUGUUUCUCUCUUGGCCUAUUUUACCGUGUUUGAAUGUAACCAAAUUGUAGGUUCUGGGGUCUCUUGUAACCGAAAGUGGGGUUUGGCUGCUCGCUGCUCAGAAACCAAUAAAGGCCAGGUUGGUGGAAA